rnacentral:rRNA from 2 species
AGAGUUUGAUCCUAGCUCAGGGUGAACGCUGGUAACGUGGAUACCGGCAUGCAAGUCACGGGGGCCGCAAGGCAACCGGCGAACGGCUUAGUAACACGUAGGUACAUACCCCAAAGUGGAGCAUAGCUCGUUGAAAAACGGGGUAAUUCUCCAUAAUAUCGCAAGAUUAAAGCAGUAAUGCGCUUUGGGAAUGGCCUGCGGCCUAUCAGAUUGUUGGCGAGGUAAUGGCUCACCAAGUCUAUGACGGGUAGGGGGCGUGAGAGCGCGACCCCCAAGAAUGGCACUGCGACACGGGCCAUACUCCUACGGGAGGCUGCAGUCGAGAAUCUUCCGCAAUGGGCGAAAGCCUGACGGAGCGACGUUACGUGAAUGAUGAAGCCCUUCGGGGUGUAAAGUUCUUUUAUUUGGGAGGAAAUUAUUGACAGUACCAGAUGAAUAAGGGGAUCCUAAUUCUGUGCCAGCAGGAGCGGUAAGACAGAAUCCCCAAGCGUUACCCGGAUUUAUUGGGCGUAAAGGGUCCGUAGGUGGCGCAGUAAGUUGAAAGUUAAAACUCAUCGGCUUAACCUUUGAGGUGCUUUCAAUACUGCUGUGCUAGAGGAUGUUAGGGGUGAACGGAACCGACGGAGUAGGGGUGAAAUCCGUUGAUAUCGUCGGGAACACCAAAAGCGAAGGCAGUUCACUAGGACAAUCCUGACACUGAGGGACGAAAGCGUGGGGAGCAAAAAGGAUUAGAUACCCUUGUAGUCCACGCUGUAAACGAUGAUUACUGGCUAUGUGAAGUGUCGACCCUUCACGUGGCGAAGCUAACGCGUUAAGUAAUCCGCCUGGGAAGUACGGUCGCAAGACUAAAACUCAAAGGAAUAGACGGGGACUCACACAAGCGGUGGACCAUGUGGCUUAAUUCGACAACAAACGGAGAACCUUACCAGGUCUGGAAAUCUGCAUGAAAGCCCUAAGAAACUAGGGCCCUUCACAAGACAUGCAGACAGGUGCUGCAUGGUUGAUGCUUUUCACAUAAAGCAUAUCGACCCUUUUUAGAGUAAUCUAAAUUGAAAAAACCAGCUCAUAACGGUGAAACCCAAAUAAAUUUAUGUUAAAAUAAAUUUAUGGGCAAUACCGUGGGAAGUAAAAAAGAUAGACG